GUGUUCCCUUCAACAGCACCUAUGCUAAAGCGGGAACUGUACAGAGACAUUAGAAUGGCCCUGAGCAAGAAUGGCAUGCAAAUUUGUGAAGCAUUUCAUACUUUU